rnacentral:ncRNA from 1 species
UUUCCCUCAGGAUAGCUGGCGCUCUCGCUCUUUCCCGACGUACGCAGUUUUAUCCGGUAAAGCGAAUGAUUAGAGGUCUUGGGGCCGAAACGAUCUCAACCUGUUCUCAAACUUUAAAUGGGUAAGAAGCCUGGCUCGCUGGCGUGGAGCCGGGCGUGGAAUGCGAGUGCCAGUGGGCCACUUUUGGUAAGCAGAACUGGCGCUGCGGGAUGAACCG